GAGUGGGUCGGGGGGGAUUCUAUGGGGCUGUGUGGGUCAGGGGGGAUUCUAUGGGGCUGAGCGGGGCUGUGUGGGAUUUCUGUGGGUCUCAGGAGGAUGCAGGUGGGGGAUUCUGUGGAUUUCAGUGGGGUUCCGUGGCUCCAUAUGGGAUUUCCGUGGGUCUGAGUCCAUAUGGGAUUCUCUGGGUCCAUAUCGGAUUCUGUGGGUCCAUAUGGGAUUCCGUGGGUCUCAGUGGGUCCAUAUGGGAUUGCGUGGGUCUCAGUGGGUCUCAUUGAGUCCAUAUGGGAUUGUGUGGGUCCAUAUGGGAUUCCGUGGGUCUCAGUGGGUCCAUAUGGGAUUGUGUGGGUCCAUAUGGGAUUGUG
rnacentral:lncRNA from 1 species